rnacentral:rRNA from 1 species
CCGCCCGUCACAUCAUGAAAGCCGGUUGUACCCGAAGUCCACUCAGCUAACCGCAAGGAGGCAGUGGCCGAAGGUAUGGCUGGUGAUUGGGAUG